GACAGGGCUAUGAGACAGGCUACCAUGUUCUCUGAACACUGGUUGGAGCUGCUGUGGAGAGGUUGAUGAAGUGGCUGGAGCUAGCCCACUCACAUGCCCCCUUCCAGACUUGUUACAGAAGAUGAUGAUCGGAUGCUUUGAAACAGCCAGACUGCGCAUGAGCAGCAAGCAUCCUCCCAGAACAUGUCCCAGGGCGUGGUCUCUUUCCAGUCACUGCACCUUUGAGGGAAGAAUGGGAUCUAGUUGGCUAAGCACCCAGGACAACUCUGGCAACUCACCGCCCCCCCCUGUGAAUCCACCUCGUCCAGGAGUACCAUUCUGCAGUAAGGACACGUAGCUCGAUGUUCUUCCUACACUCAACAGUCACGACUGGAGAGGAGGGGACAGGACAGAAGGUGCCUUAGGGAUGAGAUCUCAUGAUGGACGCACAGGACAUGGAAAGCUGCAUGAACACUGUGUCUGCUUGGAUUUGGAGAAAAACAGAGCCUUGCAGCCAUGAGUUAGAGCAUUUUCCCAUCUUCAUCUUUCAUUUGAUAGAGGGAGUGAGUAAACUGAAGGAACCAUUUUCUGUCCUAGUUGGUGACCUUCCACCUCCUUUUUUCUCCUCUCAUGUGUAUGCAAGCAUGCGUGUGUGUGUGUGUAUGUGUGUGUGUGUGUGUGUGUGUGUGUGUGUGUGUGUGUGGUGUUCAUAUGCACGUGCAUGCACCUAUGCACUGCCAUGCAGAAGAGGCCAAAGGAGGAGAAUAUGUGUGUCUUGUCUAUCACUUGCCAUCUUCUCUGUUUGAGACAGAAGCGAACAUGAAGUUUAUGUUUUCAGCUAAGCUGGCUGCGGGGCUCUG
rnacentral:lncRNA from 1 species